rnacentral:rRNA from 1 species
GAUGAACGCUAGCGGCAGGCUUAAUACAUGCAAGUUGAGGGGCAGCAUGAUAUACGCGAGUAUAUUGAUGGCGACCGGCGGACGGGUGAGUAAUAGGUAGGAGACCUACCUCAUACAGGGGGAUAGCAUAGAGAAAUCUGUGGUAAUACCCCAUGAGGUUAUAUGAAUAGAGGCAUAUAAUCAAAGCAUAAGCGAUUAUGCGGUAUGAGAGGGGCCUACUGACCAUUAGCUAGUUGGUGAGGUAAGGGCUCACCAAGGCGAAGAUGGUUAGGGGUUUUGAGAGAGAGACCCCCCACAUUGGAACUGAGAGACGGUCCAGACUCCUACGGGAGGCAGCAGUAGGGAAUAUUGGGCAAUGGGCGAAAGCCUGACCCAGCCAUGCCGCGUGAAGGAAGACGGCCUUAUGGGUUGUAAACUUCUUUACUACGCGAAUAGAGGUUAGUACGAGAUACAAUAGGAAGGUAGUGUAGUAAAAAGCAACCGGCUAACUCCGUGACCCG